UACGUAGGGCGCGAGCGUUGUCCGGAAUUAUUGGGCGUAAAGAGCUCGUAGGCGGCCUGUUGCGUCCGCUGUGAAAUCCCGGGGCUCAACCCUGGGCGUGCAGUGGAUACGGGCAGGCUGGAGGCAGGCAGGGGAGAACGGAAUUCCCGGUGUAGCGGUGAAAUGCGCAGAUAUCGGGAGGAACACCGGUGGUGCAGACGGCUCUCUGGACCGCGACUGACGCUGAGACACGAAAGCGUGGGUAGCAAACAGG
rnacentral:rRNA from 1 species